rnacentral:rRNA from 1 species
CAGUCGCCACGGUAAUACGGAGGGUGCAAGCGUUAAUCGGAAUUACUGGGCGUAAAGCGCACGCAGGCGGUCUGUCAAGUCAGAUGUGAAAUCCCCGGGCUUAACCUGGGAACUGCAUUUGAAACUGGCAGGCUAGAGUCUUGUAGAGGGGGGUAGAAUUCCAGGUGUAGCGGUGAAAUGCGUAGAGAUCUGGAGGAACAUCAGUGGCGAAGGCGGCCAUCUGGGACAACACUGACGCUGAGGCACGAAAGCGUGGGGAGCAAGCAGGAUUAGAUACCCCUGUAGUCCCUGUCUCUUAUAC